UACGGGGGGGGGCAAGCGUUGUUCGGAAUUACUGGGCGUAAAGGGCUCGUAGGCGGCCAACUAAGUCGGACGUGAAAUCCCCAGGCUUAACUUGGGAACUGCGUCCGAUACUGGAUGGCUUGAAUCCGGGAGAGGGAUGCGGAAUUCCAGGUGUAGCGGUGAAAUGCGUAGAUAUCUGGAGGAACACCGGUGGCGAAGGCGGCAUCCUGGACCGGGUAUUGACGCUGAGUGAGCGAAAGCCAGGGGAGCAAACGGG
rnacentral:rRNA from 1 species